GUGAGGAAUUUUCCGCAAUGGGCGAAAGCCUGACGGAGCAAUGCCGCGUGAAGGAUGAAGGCCUAUGGGUUGUAAACUUCUUUUCUCAGAAAAGAAUUAUGACGGUAUCUGAGGAAUAAGCAUCGGCUAACUCUGUGCCAGCAGCCGCGGUAAUACGGAGGGUGCAAGCGUUAUCCGGAUUCACUGGGUUUAAAGGGUGCGUAGGCGGUUUUAUAAGUCAGUGGUGAAAUCAACGGGCUCAACCUGUUAACUGCCAUUGAUACUGUAGGACUUGAAUAUGAGAGAGGUAGGCGGAAUGUUGCAUGUAGCGGUGAAAUGCUUAGAUAUGCUACGGAACACCGAUUGCGAAGGCAGCUUACUAUUUCAUGAUUGACGCUGAGGCACGAAAGCGUGGGUAGCGAACAGGAUUAGAAACCCCGGUAGUCC
rnacentral:rRNA from 1 species